CCAGGCGGGUGGGAGCAUGUGGUUUAGUUCGAUGCAACGCGAAGAACCUUACCUACUCUUGACAUCCAGAGAACUUACCAGAGAUGCUUUGGUGCCUUCGGGAACUCUGAGACAGGUGCUGCAUGGCUGUCGUCAGCUCGUGUUGUGAAAUGUUGGGUUAAGUCCCGCAACGAGCGCAACCCUUAUCCUUUGUUGCCAGCGGUUCGGCCGGGAACUCAAAGGAGACUGCCAGUGAUAAACUGGAGGAAGGUGGGGAUGACGUCAAGUCAUCAUGGCCCUUACGAGUAGGGCUACACACGUGCUACAAUGGCGCAUACAAAGAGAAGCGACCUCGCGAGAGCAAGCGGACCUCAUAAAGUGCGUCGUAGUCCGGAUUGGAGUCUGCAACUCGACUCCAUGAAGUCGGAAUCGCUAGUAAUCGUGGAUCAGAAUGCCACGGUGAAUACGUUCCCGGGCCUUGUACACACCGCCCGUCACACCAUGGGAGUGGGUUGCAAAAGAAGUAGGUAGCUUAACCUUCGGGAGGGCGCUUACCACUUUGUGAUUCAUGACUGGGGUGAAGUCGUAACAAGGUAACCGUAGGGGAACCUGCGGCUGGAUCACCUCCUUAA
rnacentral:rRNA from 1 species